GCUCCCAUGGCAUAGUGGUCACUGCACUUGCCUUGCACGCAGGAGACCCGGGUUCGAUUCCAGGCGGGGUCA
rnacentral:tRNA from 1 species